CUCUUCUUCACCCAUUAUAGCUCUUUUUUCAGUCAUAUCCAUCCCCUGCCCAAUUUUUUUUCCUUUUCCACAAUUUAUUUUCAUAUAUUUAGAUCGAUCCACUAAUUCACCCACGGAGGGAGAGAACGGCGUUGGUGGUGCUCUUUGGACACCAUGAUACGCAGUGGAGGAAUAGAGAGAGAGGCAUGACUGGUCAGCGAAAGAGAACGAGGUGGGUGAGGGUGCGAUGAUCUAAUCAUGGCGGAGAAAAAUGGUGAUGGUGUUUGGCUAGAUCUGGUGUGGUGGCUUGGGUAGUUGAUAUUGUGGAGGUUGAAAGAGGAAAUGAAAAUGGUGAUGAUGUGCGGCGGAGAUGAAGGCGGACGAAAUAUGAUUGAUUCACCGGCAAAAAUACGACAACAUGACGACUUGGGCCGUGAAAAGUGGGAUUGGGAGAAAAUGUAACUAUGAAUUCACAACUUACCAGGAGGUCCCAAACACAGAAUAUCCAAAACAUGAGAAUGAUACACAUAAAUACAUCAGAUUGCUAUAUUUAAACCUAGGCUUCUGGUUUAAGAGAUAGGUCAUUUGGUGUAUAUUGACACAAAUCAGACUAACAUUAUACAGAUCUUCUACAAUGUGCAGUAACUUGUUAAUUUGACAAAUGAUUGAGUAGAAAAGUUCACAAUACAAACACAUACAAGUA